GAGUUACCCCUCUUCUUCCCCUCGUCGCCGCCAUGGCCGCCUUCCUCGAUCCAGAGCCGAGACAACCUAGCCAUCUCCUCGAUUCAAUCGUGCUCUGCCCCGCACGGUUCCAUGGCUGUUCUUCUUCAUAUGUGUUCGUCCAAGGAUUUCCUGGCCGGCGCCGUUCGAGAGGGGAGUAGUCUCUGUCCGGGGCGGGCUGGCUUGAUUUCUGCCGGCGGCGGUGGUUUUGGCUGUCUCCCGGCUCUCCUCCGGUAGAACAACGGCCGGCAAGCCGGCGAUGAUUAGUCAGCUGUUCUUCCCCCAUCGCUUCCUCAGAUCCAGACACGUCUCCUUCCUCGAUUCAAACUCUCUCUGCCUAUGUGUCGCUGCCGCGUCUUCCCAAUCUAACCUGGUGAACUGCAUCUUCAUAGAGUUUUUUUUUAUCACAUGGAAUGGAGCAAGCGUUAUUUGCUUUCAUAGAACAGGAUAAGGAUGAAAAUUUGUGAGAUGUCCCACAGUUUCCACGUUCGUCUGACCAGCAUUCAAGAAGGCAUAUGCUGGACAUGUGGUUCCAAUGACAGUCAAGGCUCAAUGAAUGGGCUAAGGUUAAUGUUGGAAGCCAUUAACCUUAGCAGUGAAGUAUGCUAAGGUAUUAUGAAUGAUGAAAUGCACUGGGCGCCGAGCAGUGAAUUACGCCACGUUUUGAUGGAUAUGCGUUUUGCCUAGAAAGCAUUGUCUGACACAAGAAUCAGCAGCACAUGUUUAAGUUCAAAGUUGUACUUCUUUUACAACUAAAAUGUGUAAAUUCAAAUUUGUAACCCAAACUGACCUGAAAGCAGGUUUUGUUUGGCAUGUUCACAUUUUGCAGGUCCACACCUACAAGAUCUGGAGCAUCUGUGGUCACUCAGAGAUACAUUAAGUUUUGGCUUUUGUAUAUGUUGGCAAGAAGGCUGCUGCUGGAUGCAAGCAUGCCCCUUUAACCUGACUGUAUGGCACCAUGCCAAUAUGUGCUAUGUGCACUUAUUUUGUAUAGCUGUCUGUUGGGCUGUGUGUUAUGGUGGCCAAUAUGUGAUGUGCUCAAUGGUGUCAAGUGUGGUAUGGCUAUGUGCUGGCUUUUGUAUAGACCAAAUUUAGUGGCUUUUGCUGUAGGGCUUUGUGGCAGUUCAUCUUGGUGUGCAAUGGAAUUGAUUUGUCCUUUUGAUAUGUGAUUUGCCUUAUGACAUUUUUAUUAUACAAAUCUCAAUUGAAAUUC